CUUUCUUUUUUUUUCUUUUUUUUCUUUUUUUUUGAAAGCGAAAUGAAUUUUGUUUUAUUUUUAAUUUUUAUUUAUUAUUUUAUUCUAACUUUAAUUAGAGUGAAUUUUGAUAUAUUAGGAUAGAUCAAAAAAAGAAUUGAAUUCUUUCAUCUUUUACUUCAUUUAUUCGGUGGAUCGGUGCAGGUUCAAAAUAGAUUAUUUUUUUUCUUUAUUUUUGACCUUCACUUAUCGCAUCGACGGAAGGGAUCUGGACGAAAGCUCCUAAUAUUUUCUAAGUAACUAAUAUGCAGCGUACGUAUUCGGAUGUUGAUAGCCAAUAUUUUAGAAUCAUUUUGUAAGAAGUUACAUUACAUGUGGUUUGCAUUUGAAAAUAACGUUUGCGAAAAUCAAACCAUGUUUCUAUCCAACUUAUAAAAAUAUUAUUUACUAUAUAUAUAUAUAUAAUAUAUACUAAUCAAAAAGACCC
rnacentral:lncRNA from 1 species